rnacentral:rRNA from 1 species
UACAGAGGUCUCGAGCGUUGUUCGGAUUCAUUGGGCGUAAAGGGUGCGUAGGCGGCGGGGCAAGUCUGAUGUGAAAUCCCGGGGCUCAACCCCGGAACUGCAUUGGAUACUGCCUUGCUAGAGUACUGGAGAGGAGACUGGAAUUUACGGUGUAGCAGUGAAAUGCGUAGAGAUCGUAAGGAAGACCAAUGGCGAAGGCAAGUCUCUGGACAGUUACUGACGCUG